rnacentral:lncRNA from 1 species
GGGAACAAACUACUAAAUGAGGGAAAAGGAGUCUCAUGCAAUCCUGUGCCGUGUCGUCGACCCAUACCAUCGACCUGACCUCACAUUUUCAAAGCUACUUGCACGCUCUUGUGUUUAAUUUCUUCGUUUAAUUAGAUCGAUCAUGACACUGUGCCUAAAGCCCUAAACUAAUGCUACCAAGCUUGCAAGAGUCAGCCGGGAGCCGGCUGGCAUUGCUACUUAGCUUACUCCUAUCACAAAGUAAAUGCCAUUUUAAGCUAACACGUUUAAACUUUGACCGUCAACAUAUCUUGGAAGAUU